AUUGGGAUGGCAGAGCCAGGCAUAAAUGCAAAAGACCUAAACCCUUUACUCAGGGGUUCAAACCCCCUUCCCAAUU
rnacentral:tRNA from 1 species